rnacentral:rRNA from 1 species
GAUGAACGCUGGCGGCGUGCCUAAUACAUGCAAGUCGAGCGAACAGACGCGGAGCGUGCUCCUCUGACGUUAACGGCGGAAGGGAGAGUAACACGUGGUUAACCUACCUAUGAGACUGGGAUCACUUAGGGAAACCGGAGCUAAUACUGGAUAAUAUAUGGAACCGCAUGGUUCGAUAGUGAAUGACGGGUUUGCUGUCAAUUAUAGGUGUAUCCGCGCCGCAGUAGCUAGUUGGUAAGGUAACGGCUUACCAAGGCAACGAUGCGUAGCCGACCUGAGAGGGUGAUCGGCCACACUGGAGCGGAGGGACGGUUCAGACUCCUACGGGGGGCAGCAGUCGGGCAUCUUCCGCAAUGGGCGAAUGCCUGACGGAGCAACGCCGCGUGAGUGAUGAAGGUCUUCGGAUCGUAAAACGCUGUUAUUAGGGAAGACCAAAUGUGUAAGUAACUAUGCACUUCUUGACGGUACCUAAUCAGAAAGCCACGGCUAACUACGUG